AGUUUGAUCAUGGCUCAGGAUGAACGCUGGCGGCGUGCCUUAAUACAUGCAAGUCGAACGGUAAGGCUUCACUCUGUGUUUAAUGAUUUGAACAUAGUGUGGAAGUACACGAGUGGCGGACGGCUGAGUAACGCGUAGGAAUGUACCCCAAAGUGAGGGAUAAGCACCGGAAACGGUGUCUAAUACCGCAUGUGCUCUAAGGAGUAAAGCUUCGGCGCUUUGGGAACGGCCUGCGUAUGAUUAGCUUGUUGGUGAGGUAAUGGCUCACCAAGGCGACGAUCAUUAGCUGGUCUGAGAGGAUGAUCAGCCAGACUGGGACUGAGACACGGCCCAGACUCCUACGGGAGGCAGCAGUAGGGAAUUUUCCACAAUGGGCGAAAGCCUGAUGGAGCAACGCCGCGUGCAGGAUGAAGGCCUUCGGGUUGUAAACUGCUUUUAUAAGUGAAGAUUAUGACGGUAACUUAUGAAUAAGGAUCGGCUAACUCCGUG
rnacentral:rRNA from 1 species